rnacentral:rRNA from 1 species
AUACGUAGGGGGCGAGCGUUGUCCGGAAUGAUUGGGCGUAAAGGGCGCGUAGGCGGCCCGGUAAGUCUGGAGUGAAAGUCCUGCUUUUAAGGUGGGAAUUGCUUUGGAUACUGUCGGGCUUGAGUGCAGGAGAGGUAAGUGGAAUUCCCAGUGUAGCGGUGAAAUGCGUAGAGAUUGGGAGGAACACCAGUGGCGAAGGCGACUUACUGGACUGUAACUGACGCUGAGGCGCGAAAGUGUGGGGAGCCAACAGGAUUAGAUACCCUGGUAGUCCACACUGUAAACGAUGAAUGCUAGGUGUAGGGGGUAUCGACCCCUUCUGUGCCGCAGUUAACACAAUAAGCAUUCCGCCUGGGGAGUACGGCCGCAAGGUUGAAACUCAAAGGAAUUGACGGGG